UGGGGGAUAUUGCACAAUGGGCGAAAGCCUGAUGCAGCGACGCCGCGUGGGGGAUGAAGGCCUUCGGGUUGUAAACUUCUUUUGCUCUGAACAAGGCAUGCUAAUGGGUGUGUUGAGUGUAGGGGUUGAUUAGCGCCGGCUAACUACGUGCCAGCAGCCGCGGUAAUACGUAGGGCGCGAGCGUUGUCCGGAAUUAUUGGGCGUAAAGGGCUUGUAGGUGGCUGGUUGCGUCUGUCGUGAAAGCUCAUGGCUUAACUGUGGGUUUGCGGUGGGUACGGGCUGGCUUGAGUGCAGUAGGUGAGGCUGGAAUUCCUGGUGUAGCGGUGGAAUGCGCAGAUAUCAGGAGGAAUACCGGUGGCGAAGGCGGGUCUCUGGGCUGUUACUGACACUGAGGAGCGAAAGCAUGGGGAGCGAACAGG
rnacentral:rRNA from 1 species